rnacentral:rRNA from 1 species
GCGUAACACGUGGUGACCUACCUCAAAGUGGGGAAUAACGGUCCGAAAGGAUCGCUAAUACCGCAUGUUCUCGAUGAUUCAUUUUGUCGAGCAAAACCGCAAGGUGCUUUGAGAGGGGCCCGCGUCCCAUCAGGUAGUUGGUGAGGUAAUGGCCCACCAAGCCAAUGACGGGUAGCUGGUCUGAGAGGACGACCAGCCACAAUGGAACUGAGAUACGGUCCAUACUCCUACGGGAGGCAGCAGUGAGGAAUAUUGCACAAUGGACGAAAGUCUGAUGCAGCGACGCCGCGUGGGUGAUGAAGGCCCUCGGGUCGUAAAACCCUUUUGGCAGGGACGAGUGAGGACGGUACCUGCAGAAUAAGUCUCGGCUAACUACGUGCCAGCAGCCGCGGUAAAACGUAGAGGCGAGCGUUAUCCGGAUUUACUGGGCGUAAAGCGCGCGUAGGCGGUCGGGUAAGUCAGAUGUGAAAGCCCUGGGCUUAACCCAGGAAGUGCAUUUGAUACUGCCUCGCUAGAGUACGGGAGAGGAAAGUGGAAUUCCUGGUGUAGAGGUGAAAUUCGUAGAUAUCAGGAGGAACACCGGUGGCGAAGGCGACUUUCUGGCCCGAUACUGACGCUCAGGCGCGAAAGCGUGGGGAGCAAACAGGAUUAGAUACCCUGGUAGUCCACGCCGUAAACGAUGUUCACUAGGUGUUGGGGUAUUGACCCUCUCGGUGCCGUAGCUACGCAUUAAGUGACCGCCUGGAAGUACGGUCGCAAGUGUGAAACUCAAAGGAAUUGACGGGGGCCCGCACAAGCGGUGGAGUAUGUGGUUUAAUUCGAUGCAACGCGAAGAACCUUACCAGGGGUUUGACAUCCUGCGAAUCUCUUGGAAACGAGAGAGUGCCUUCGGGAGCGCAGUGACAGGUGGUGCAUGGCUGUCGUCAGCUCGUGCCGUGAGAUGUUGGGUUAAGUCCCGCAACGAGCGCAACCCACGUCGUUAGUUGCCAGCAUUUAGUUGGGCACUCUAGCGAAACCGCCGGUGAUAAACCGGAGGAAGGUGUGGAUGACGUCAAGUCAUCAUGCCCCUUACAUCCUGGGCUACAACACGUACUACAAUGCUACGGACAAAGGGCAGCAAGCUCGCGAGAGUUAGCAAAUCCCAUAAACCGUGGCUCAGUUCAGAUCGUAGGCU